UAGGGAAUCUUCCACAAUGGGCGAAAGCCUGAUGGAGCAACGCCGCGUGUGUGAUGAAGGGUUUCGGCUACGUAAAACACUGUUGUAAGAGAAGAAUGACAUUGAGAGUAACUGUUCAAUGUGUGACGGUAUCUUACCAGAAAGGAACGGCUAAAUACGUGCCAC
rnacentral:rRNA from 1 species